GAUGAACGCUAGCUACAGGCUUAACACAUGCAAGUCGAGGGGAAACGACAUCGAAAGCUUGCUUUUGAUGGGCGUCGACCGGCGCACGGGUGAGUAACGCGUAUCCAACCUGCCCACCACUUGGGGAUAACCUUGCGAAAGUAAGACUAAUACCCAAUGACGUCUCUAGAAGACAUCUGAAGGAGAUUAAAGAUUUAUCGGUGAUGGAUGGGGAUGCGUCUGAUUAGCUUGUUGGCGGGGUAACGGCCCACCAAGGCGACGAUCAGUAGGGGUUCUGAGAGGAAGGUCCCCCACAUUGGAACUGAGACACGGUCCAAACUCCUACGGGAGGCAGCAGUGAGGAAUAUUGGUCAAUGGGCGAGAGCCUGAACCAGCCAAGUAGCGUGCAGGAUGACGGCCCUAUGGGUUGUAAACUGCUUUUAUAAGGGAAUAAAGUGAGCCUCGUGAGACUUUUUGCAUGUACCUUAUGAAUAAGGACCGGCUAAUUCCGUGCCAGCAGCCGCAGUAA
rnacentral:rRNA from 1 species